rnacentral:rRNA from 1 species
AACGAACGCUGGCGGCAGGCUUAACACAUGCAAGUCGAACGGGUGUAGCAAUACAUCAGUGGCAGACGGGUGAGUAACACGUGGGAACCUUCCUAGGGGUACGGAACAACUCAGGGAAACUUGAGCUAAUACCGUAUACGUCCGUGAGGAGAAAGAUUUAUCGCCCUUAGACGGGCCCGCGUCGGAUUAGCUAGUUGGUGGGGUAACGGCCUACCAAGGCGACGAUCCGUAGCUGAUCUUAGAGGAUGAUCAGCCACACUGGGACUGAGACACGGCCCAGACUCCUACGGGAGGCAGCAGUGGGGAAUCUUGGACAAUGGGCGCAAGCCUGAUCCAGCCAUGCCGCGUGAGUGAAGAAGGUCUUCGGAUUGUAAAGCUCUUUUGCCAGGGACGAUAAUGACGGUACCUGGAGAAUAAGCCCCGGCAAACUUCGUGCCAGCCGCCGCAGUAA